rnacentral:rRNA from 1 species
UUAGAAAAUUAGGAAAGAAAAAGUUAAAGUUUGUACCUUUUGUAUUAUGGUUUAACAAGGUUAUGUUAAUAGUGUUUUAUAGCCCGAAGCUGAGCGAGCUAGUGUAUUCUACUUUAAGAGAGAGAGCUUUUACUGUUGCAAUAGUAAGGUUUGAGGGUACAUUAGGUGUGAAAUGCUUAUCGCGCUCAGGGAUAGCUGGUUUUCCUAGAAAUUAGGUGUGAGCUAAAUAUAUGUUUUUAUCAUUGUGGUAAUUAUUUUAUAGGAUAAUAAAAGCAGUUUUUGAUAAUGGCAUAAUUCUAAGACAGGAAGGGACAAGCUUUUCUGUCAAUAAAGAAAAAGCUUUGUUUAUUGAUUAAGGGUAGUUUUUAUAAGAAUGUGUUGGGUAUUGAUAAAAAGUAGGAUUAAUAGCAUCCAGCUUUAUAAAGGGCGUUAAAGCCUAUUUAAUAAAAAAUUACAAAAGAUUUUUAGGAAGAAACUCUAAAUUGUAAAAGUCUAUAGGAGAAUUUCAUUAAUUUGAAAGUUAUAAUGUUAGAAUUAGUAGAGGAAAAAAGUAUAUUUUUUGUGAAUUAAUCAAAUCCUAACAUUGGAUGGAACAAUUAAUCUAUUUAUCGGGAAAUUAAUUUGUUUGGAUUGUCUGCUAACACAAGUAAUAUAAUAUAGUUCAAUUAAGGGAAAGGAACUCGGCAAAUAAAGAUUUCGCCUGUUUACCAAAAACAUCGCCCUUUGUAAAGAAUCUUACAUAUAAAGGGUCCUGCCUGCCCAGUGACUUAGUUAAACGGCCGCGGUAUCUUGACCGUGCAAAGGUAGCAUAAUCAUUUGCCUCUUAAAUGGGGGCUGGUAUGAAUGGCAAGACGGGAAUCAAGCUGUCUCUCUCUUAUAAUCUUGAAGUUGAUAUUUUCGUGAAGAAGCGGAAAUAAGAUCGCAGGACGAGAAGACCCUAUCGAGCUUUAGCAUAAAUAAGAUACAACUUGUUAAUAAUGUUCGUGUUGCUAAUUAAAUUGUUAUAAUUUGUAUAGUUUUACUGCUAAGAACAAUAGUGUUGUGUAUAUAGUGCUUAGGUUGGGGCAACCGCGGAGAAUAAUUAUCCUCCGUUAAUUAUUUUGAAAAAACUAUUAUUUUUCAAAAUAAGAUUUAUGUAAUAAGUGAUCCACUUAAAUAGUGAGCAAAGGAAUAAGUUACCGUAGGGAUAACAGCGUAAUUUUUUUGGAGAGUUCAUAUUGAUAAAAAAGUUUGCGACCUCGAUGUUGGAUCGGGAUUUCCUGGGGAUGCAGCAGUUCCCAA